UACGUAGGGUGCAAGCGUUGUCCGGAAUUAUUGGGCGUAAAGGGUGCGUAGGCGGUUUGACAAGUCUUAUGUGAAAUCUUCGGGCUCAACCCGAAGUCUGCAUGAGAAACUGUUGAGCUUGAGUAUGGGAGAGGUGAGUGGAAUUUCCGGUGUAGCGGUGAAAUGCGUAGAUAUCGGAAGGAACACCUGUGGCGAAAGCGGCUCACUGGACCAUAACUGACGCUGAGGCACGAAAGCUAGGGGAGCAAACAGG
rnacentral:rRNA from 1 species